rfam:Nematostella vectensis strain CH2 x CH6 NEMVEscaffold_423_Cont26832, whole genome shotgun sequence.
GUAUACUGGUUAGUACAUUGCUUUGUGGCCGCAAUAACCCAGGUUCGAAUCCUGG